UUCAUUCUUGGUGUUGUACAUUCCAUGGGAUUGGACAAGUGUAUGGUGACAAGUAUUCAUCAUUAUAAUGUCAUACAGAGUCUUCUCACUGCCUUAAAAAUUCUCUGUGCUCUGCCUCUUCAUAU